AUGAACGCUGGCGGCGUGCCUAAUACAUGCGAGUCGAGCGAACGGACGAGAAGCUUGCUUCUCUGAUGUUAGCGGCGGACGGGUGAGUAACACGUGGAUAACCUACCUAUAAGACUGGGAUAACUUCGGGAAACCGGAGCUAAUACCGGAUAAUAUUUUGAACCGCAUGGUUCAAAAGUGAAAGACGGUCUUGCUGUCACUUAUAGAUGGAUCCGCGCUGCAUUAGCUAGUUGGUAAGGUAACGGCUUACCAAGGCAACGAUGCAUAGCCGACCUGAGAGGGUGAUCGGCCACACUGGAACUGAGACACGGUCCAGACUCCUACGGGAGGCAGCAGUAGGGAAUCUUCCGCAAUGGGCGAAAGCCUGACGGAGCAACGCCGCGUGAGUGAUGAAGGUCUUCGGAUCGUAAAACUCUGUUAUUAGGGAAGAACAUAUGUGUAAGUAACUGUGCACAUCUUGACGGUACCUAAUCAGAAAGCCACGGCUAACUACGUG
rnacentral:rRNA from 1 species